UUUCACUCUUCCCCAUCUGCCAUACCUACAACGUACCCAGGGGCCUCAUUCCAUGGCUGCCACCUGAGAAGUCACCAUAGCAACACCAGGGACAAAGAAGCAGGUGUGGCUGUAAAGAGACUGAACUUCAGGAGCUUGCAAAGAUGCCUCUGGUUGCAUAAAGUUACAGACUCAGGCUGCACCUGAGGAUCACACCUG